rnacentral:lncRNA from 1 species
UUGUUUGUUUGUUUUUUGGCAGGGUGGAUGUUUGAUACUGACCAUUAUGCUCUCCCUUCUAAAAGUUUCUUCACAUUGACUUUUGGGGAAAAACUCGUCCAAUUGUUCUAUAAUCUCUUUGGUUAACUCUUGGGUUGCUUUGUGUCUGUCUCUCUGUUAGGCUUUUAUUUAAAUCUCAUUCACCUUUUAAAAUUAGUAGGAUUUAUUCUUUGUUCUCUUCUUAUUUUAGAAUCCCUCCUGGUCUAUCUCUUGGACACUCAUGGUUUCCAAUGCACUUAUCUGAUAAUAUCAGUAGCUCCAAAUCUUUACCUCCAACCCACCUUCACGCUGCUUACACCCUGCUCUGGGUAUCUGCAUAACAGAGAAAAGCAUGGGGUACAAAAUACUAUGUUAAAAAUUUCAGUUAUAGACCUGAUAUGAAAAAUAGGUUAUAUAAAUUGUUAACAAUGGAGUUCCCAUGGUGGCUCAGUGGUUAACGUAUCCAACUAGGAACCACAAGGUUGCGGGUUCGAUCCCUGGCCUUGCUCAUUGGGUUAAGGAUCCGGCGUUGCUAUGAGCUGUGGUGUAGGGUGCAGACGUGGCUCGGAUCCCACAUUGCUGUGGCUCUGGCAUAGGCUGGUGGCUACAACUCCAAUUAGACCCCUAGCCUGGGAACCUCCAUAUGCCGCAGGAGCGACCCAAGAAAAUGGCAAAAAAAAGACAAAAAAAAAUUGUUAACAAGAAACAUUUUGUUCUUACACAAUGAAAUACGUUCCAGAGCAAAGCCUCAUUAAGCCUUCAGUUGUUGAGAAAUGAAUGAGGAAACAAUAACUGAAUAUUUAGUACUCUAGGGAACGAUCAUUUGGUCUCUUCCAGAAAACUGAAAACAUGAUCUGGAAAUACUGGAAAUACAUGCAGGAAAGAUCUCGUGUAGGAUUUAUUGAACUGGUUGGUUUGGAGAGCCACCUGGUGGUUAAGAGAAAAUGUGAGGAAAGACGGAACUUGCACUGAGCUUGAAUUCCACCACGUGAGUGGUGUACUACUUUACUUCAAACCACUAGGCCCGGAACUGUUAGGACCUGACUAGAUCCAUACAGGAUUCUACUCUUACAACUUUUCUCUCGUACAGCAUAUUUGCUCUUCCUUAUACAUUUUCAGAAAAACCUUUACUUUCCUUUGGGUUUAUUUAAUUUACCAACCUGGCAGUAGAUACGCAGAACUGGGAGAAAUGCAUGAGAGGGAGGCACGUAAAAAGAAAACAAAAAUGAUGAUUGAGCUUAUUCCAUCAGAGGAUUAAAGAUGGGGGUGACAAUGGCACACAUAGCUGCUACCAGCCUACUUCCUGUCCUUGUUUCCCAUCUUCCUACCGUCUGAUGUGGUUUCAGAAUUAACUAUUGCAUAAAACAUGCAGCUUCUCCAUGUAUGCAAGAAAUAGGUUUAGCAUUGCCCAGAAAAAAAAGGGAGUUAGAAGAUCUAAAAGGAUUGCUUUUAAGAUUAAAGAAUGAAGAGCUAAUAAACAAAUAAAGAGGCUCUUACCACAUCUCACUAAAAAAAACCCCCAAAAAAACCAAAACCUCAGUGGUUCUCAGUGGUAUACAUUUCUGAUUCAUGUGAUAGGUGGAUGAAGGCUGGUUAGCUGUAACUUUACUCUGGUCCAGAAUGGAAUGCUUCUCAAUCCAGAACCCAGCCUGAAGGGACCACUCUGAUGGAGAUAGGUUAUUCUUGUGGCAGAGGGAAAAGAUCAAGAGAUCUCAAAGAAACUCUCACGGCUUCUUAAAGCUUCUUCCCAGAAUCAAUACUCAUCUCUUUCCUUCAUAUUUCAUUGGAUAAAGCAUGUCACAUGGCCAAGUCUGAUACUGACGGAGGUAUAAGUAUACUCUCACUUAAGAUGUGGAGGUAUACUAAGUGUAACAUCAUUUAUUGUACAAACCAGGACAAUGUUGAGAGUGAACCUAUUUUUCAAUAACCAAGCCAGGACAACAGAAACAAAUUGAGACUGUCCUAGCAAACUUGGAUAUACUGUCAGGAUAUACCUUUUUAUAAUCCUCUCC